GAAUUAAUCACUGAGCUUUGACUUUCGAGAAAGUCGAAAUUAUUGAAAGAUCAAUUAAUUUCACUAAAAGUCACUGAGAGCAUGAUUCACUACAUGAUAAACUCGAAUCACAGCAAAUGUACUUGGCUACCGUGGUUUGUAUUAGUUAUAUUUAAUAAUAGAAUAUAUUCAUCACGAAAGGAAGUUAUUGUUAAUUAAAGCCAAUGACAUUGACAAAUACUUCUGAAAAUUGCUCCGAUGUUGAUGAAGAAUAAGUUGAUCAGUUAUCCAGCACCUAGUCGCAGUAUUUGGCAUUUGAAGUUCUAUCCUUAAAAAAAAGCCUAUAAAAGGCUCCAUCAUAAAACUCCCCUCAAAAUUCUUAUCCUAACCCAUGCUCCACCAGGACAUCAAACACGGCGUUCAUUGAAAGCCAGCACACUGUAGCUGGUUAGCUUGAGCACAUUGUGCAUCCCUCACUAUCGCGAAUGUGCGUAGUCAAAUCUUAGCCGCAAAAAGUUCACGUAGCCACUAACAGUGCUAAUAAUACAGAACCUUGUUUUCCCACAUUCGGUAUCUCCUUUCUAGUAAGACAAACACGUUUCUAAACCUGAACUAUAACUAUGGAAUGGUAUGAGCACGUAUUUCAUCACCGCCCCAACGUACAUCGACAGGUGAACAACACUGGACUUAUCGCAUAUAGAAAGUAAAUGCUACACACGAAAAAUGGAUAACAAAUCAAUCCAUUCACGUAUGCGCUAUCAAAACCAUUUACGGCCUUACAUACGCAAAGGGACACUUUGGAGCUAUUCACCAACGCACGGCUAAGGUUGGGAUACAGUUUCGUUCCAGGAACUUCUACUGCUGAAUGUGGUCUGCAGAGAAAGACAGCAAAAUGAGACAAAACAUACCCGUUUGUGCGCGAUCGUGAUUGAUAUUACUUGUUUUAAUUCAUUCGUUAACGUACAUACUUUCAAGUCUUCUCCCGAGAAUAGAAAACGUGGUACGAAUAAACGAACACCAUAGAGCGCAAGAAUGACGACCUACUAAGUCCAAGCAUGUUUGAUAACAACUUAUAGACGGGGAAAGUAGGACACACGAAGAUCAUUCCACCAAGUGAAAGCUUGAAGAAAAAGAAAACCUAGAGGUAAUAGGAGAAGAAAAAAAAGAAACUCAAAUCUGUGAAUUUAUUAAAUUGUACUAUUUGAAACCAAACCAAAACAGACACAAAAAUUAUAUGGCAAGAAGCAGCUAACGAGUAAAUGCGAGAAUAAAGUUAUAAAACAAAUUAGACACGUAUAUGCUUCAGUAAACUGAUGCAUCGAAACAACAGGCAAAACGAGAAGCAAACUGAUAGCAAUGAAACGAAAGGUGUGAAAAACUCACCAAACUCGUGGAUCUUGUGAGCUAGCGAUCGCAGAUGAUGCUAGUGGAUUUGUCACGUUCUUUAGUCUGCUCAACAGCAAGCGAACAUUUUGACAAAUGUUUGAACUUUGGCCAAUGCUCGUUAGAUCCGCAAGACGUUACCUGGCAUCGUAGGGCAAUCUGAGCCGUCUCGGGACGGAAACAUUCACAAUGAACGAAGGAAGUACAAAAGCAAGCUUUUGCCUUUGGCAGGAUAAAGGGUAAGCAGCGUAGUGAACCGAUUGUCCUGAAACGGUACUGUAUGAUGCUGUUAUCGUACUGUAGGAGUUAAAAAGUCAUGCAGUUGAUCAAAGAUAAGCAAACACCCAAAUCAGUAACAAAAAUAUACACCCUUACAUACACACAGAGCAACAUUGUCAUACUUAACUUAUCAUAAAUGAACAAAGCUAAAAAAAUGAAAACAAAUAACAACUAAAAUCAACAUAUUGUUUGCCUUAGCUCUCGAAUACACGCUGUUUGAAUAAACUCAUGCUUUCGAAAUCAGCUAUUAAACAAACGCCCAUUUACACAAUAAGCAGUAUCAACUGAAUCGGACAGGUACUCCUGCAGAGUACAGAGUAAAAAAGCUUUGAGUCGCCCCAUUGCUUCAUGCUACGGGAGGAUUGUUAAUACGAUGCAUAGAACCGAGUGCAACCUGAGGAAUAGCUAUUACCACGGCAAGUAUGUAAGCGAGCAGAAAGCUAAAAGUUGCGUAAGAGUGUAAGCAUAAUAAGUAAAUUUGCCGGAAAGAAGGGAAUGAGAAACGAGCCAAAAAAUCAUAUCUUUAUCAGUAAGAAAAUUCUUAGCAAAUAUUAAUACAAACGGAACAAAUGACGAAAAGUGGAAUAAAACACUGACACAACCAGACACACACAUACACACACGUACACACAUAACAAAACACAAACAAAUGGAAUAGGUACCAACAAAUCAACAUUAUAGGAUGCAGCACUUGUUUCGCUGAGUAUCAGAAACGAUAGGAUUAGUUAGGAGCAUGAAAUAAAAGGAUAUCGUUCGAGUCCUGAUUAAAAAAUUACGCUAAAAGUGUAACGUUGUUUAUGCAAGAGUUGCAAACAAGUGAAGUAAGAGAUAGAGCGAGAGAGAGUUAGGGAAGAGGCGUGCAAUUGUAAAUGAUAAACGAUCGCAUUUUAAGGUGCAAAUCAUCGCCAAGGGAAGUGAGAUGAAUCAAGAAUCGAGAGCAUUACGUAUGCGUGUGUGUUACGCUUUUGCUCUGGUUAGUUGCUUGAAUCUUGGCGCGCUAACGGUUGCAAUCGCAAUGGUGAUACUGAUCAAGCUCGAUGUGCAAGAAUUUAUUCCAGAAGCCAAGCUGGUUGCUUAGUAUCCUAAGCGUCUACACGGCUACACCAUGCGGGACGUAAUGAAAUGGUUCAUCUGUGUCCGUGGAAGGAUUCAAAUUAAGUUUUUGAAGCAUAUAUUAUUAGCAAUCCAAAUGUCAUACAUGCGUAUUCUUCUCGUCAAACACCAACAUUUGUGAGCUUUUUGAAAAGAACUAUUGCAUUUUGUUACGUUGAACCUGCACUAUGGUUGAACUAUGUUAGGUUGAACCAAUAAAAAAACAAUUAAAAUUUUUGAUUAAUGAUUUUCUUUUGAUUUUGAUUAAUGUAGUUGGUUUUCUUUUAAUUCCUGCACAUUGAGGAUGAUUUGCACUACCGAGCGAAGUUUAUAUGUAAAUAUAUACAGGAAAAACAGGAGAGGUAAAGUCGAAGAGGAAGGUGCUAGAAGUUAGAAGCUGCUUCAACUCCUGAAUAAUAUACUUAUCAGCAUAGCAUUGCACAUGCACAUUGAAGCAACCAUUGAGUACGGUUUUUAUUUAUAUCUUAUUAUCUUCCUCUCUCUCUCUCUCUCUCUUUCUCUUCUCUCAGCUCAUUUCUUCCCCUUUAAACAAAGCCUCAGAAUAUAAAAUUAUUAGGAACAACAACAUGCAACGAGCAUCAGCUGUCUUUAAACAGAAAAAAAUACAAAAAAUAAAUAAAAUAACAUAAAAACAAACAAACAAAACUAUUAAAUAAGAUCAACUGAAUGAAGGAAAUGCUAAGCAAAUAGACGCAAGAAAGAUCGGUUGAGCAGCAAGGCCAGCAAGCAGCAGGUGUAAAUAAGAUCAGGUUUCUACAGGGAACUAUAGGCGAAGCGAUUCAUUAUCAUAUAGCCAAUCUCAGAGACAAAAAAUGGUUUGAAAAGACUCUCGAUGAAGGGGACAGAUCGUCAGGACAGUCGUUUGUUGUCAACCUGCGGUAAAGCAAUCGUCUGUUUUUGGUUGAUUGUUUUACCCUACGCUUGGAAACCUGGAACCAUUUCCUCUUCGUUGUUUUAGAUGAUCAAGCUUCAUGCCACAUAACAUAAACUGCAACUAAUGUUUGGUUUACGAAUACCUUUCGGAAGCUUUGUAUUCUUGAUUUAUUAUCUAACUCACGUUCGAAGUAAGCACAACGAAAGUAAGCAACCAUACUCUAUUUUCUCAAUGUUUGUAUAUUUAGCAGAAGUGAGUUGUUUAAAUGGUUGAAUAACUGCACUACUGUUUUGUGCGGCAGCUUAUGACUAAAAAUGACAGGUUGCAGAGAAAGUUGAUGCAGUUUGUUGGAUUGUUACCCCCACAUUGUCUGAUCCGUCCAGUGGAAAAUGGAUUAAUUUACGCCAAAUAACGGAAACUUAAACACAACCUUUUGCCACGACCGCUUGUGUGUGUGUAUGUGUGUGUUUGCGCUGCCUUGGAACACUCUUCGAGUGAUGAAGCAUAACCAGGACCAACCAGUUUUUCCUCCCAUUCGUACUUCAGCGGUAUGUUCAUGUUUAGUUUAUUUGCGAACUGAAGAUUAUGCAUCGCGUGAUGAGUCGAACGCGCGAAAUAAGCAUAUUGAAGAUGGGUUAAUAUUUUGUUUUACAAGAUUUACUUUACGUCGCAUUGCUGGUAUGCCUUUUUUGUGUUUCCUGGAACCGUAAUACGCUUAGUAAGGUAAGAUUUUGAACGUCAACAUGUUUACACAACCACUGUGUUUAGUCCAUGAUCUGGAACACAAUUGACGGUGUCGAAAAUUGUCAUGAGAGAAUUGGUGAAAUAAUGGAAAAGAACAUUAUCAUCUGGAAAGUAUAAGGUUAUAAUUAUUGCUUUAAGUGCUUUGCAGUAUAUUACUAAUACCAAAUGCAAAUGAGAGGGAGAAAUAAAUAAGUGAAAAAUAACGAAGACAAACGAAAAAAAAAACAUAAUUCGAAAACAGCAAUUGAGGCCUAUUGACUAUGCAACAAAAAAAGAAAAGAAAAACAAAUGCAUGGUUUAGAACACAGCACUUGUGUUAUGCAUUGACCAGAACAAUGAUUUAAAAUUUUGUUCCGCUUGAGAGCUUGCUCGCUUAUUAUCCAGGAUGGCGUUACGAGGUGAUGCCUAAAAUAAUAUACGAACGUGAUAGACAGACAGGAAUGGUUUUGGUACGAAAGAGCAGUCGUCGCUUCUUCUGCACACUAUAGCAGUAUCUUAUGAAACGUUACACGUUAUGAAACAUUUAUGUUAGUGUCGAAUAAGUUGCUUGGAGCGUGCUGUUUUACCAUGUGUGCGAGUAUGUGUAGCCUUUUGAAAAGACGCUAAUUGCGAACCAAUCGUACUGCAUCGGAAAAGAUUAUGCAUUAGACACUACGCCUUCCUGUAAACGAUCAGACGGUGUAGGCACACGUACACGAAACGAUCCAGGGAUGUGGAAAUGUUACCACUAUAUCGAUUAUUUGCAUUUCGAUAGAAGUUUGAAGAUAGACCAGAGACAACAUCAAAACAAAAAUAAAAUAUAAAUAAAAAGGGAGAGGGAAAGAAACGUAAAGCAAACAAGCAUGGCUACCCGCGUCGGUGUGACAAAAGAGUUCUUUGGAAUGUGAGAAAAUGUGUACGCUGAAAAUGUAUGUUGGGAAAUACGGGAAUAGAAAUGUUAGUAGAUAAACAAAAAAAAACAAAUAAACAAACAAAAAGAUUGUUGAGCGACAUGAGUAAAGUAAAUUAAUUUACAAACAAUUGAUAUAAAAGAAUAUUAACAAAAUACAUCUAUAAUUGAAUCAACAAUCCAACCAACCAAGUGGAACACAGAAAACCAACCACAACGUUGCCCUCCCUGUUUUUCUCAUCGUCGACAGAAAACAGGGGAGUGGGUGGCGUUUGUACAAAGCUAGGGCGAAGGAAAACACAUGAAACAACUAGUACUCGUAGCUAAGAACCAAUGAAGUUAGACUGGGUGAAAAGGGUUAAAAAUGCAAGUAAAAAGUAAAUUUUAAAAUUAUUUUAUAUUAACUUAAGUAAACCAUACUAACACAUUCUCACCACACAACACAUAAACAUACAAACCAAACAAACUUUGCUGAAACAAUGCUGUAAGUAAAUGCUGAAAAAAGUCAUACAGUUCACACGGCCAGAGGCUACAUCCUUACUUCAUGUUUUUUUACACACACUUUUACACAUACACACACUUAUACACAAUUACACACACUAGAAGUUAAUUGGAAAAUCGAUAAAAUUAUACAUUAAACAUGAAACAACAUUAAGAAUCUAAAAAAAACGAGCCAAAACAGAACGAAAUGCGCUGGAGUACGCGAAUGGUAACAGGUAUUUUACCAUCAUACAUUCAAAUUUUGCUGGAUGAAAACACAAGACAAACAAUUAACACACGUGUACUCUACCCUACACAUAAGAAGCGCCAUCACACAAAACUCAUUCCACUAGAGAGAACAAUCCAAAAUCAGUCACACUAGCCACACCGUCAAGAUAGUGCAAAACAUGUCACAUGCGAAUGCGGUUGUAAUGCGAUACAAGCGGAUAAGGAGCGUAAAUAGUAGCAACCCGAUAGAGAGAAUGAGAGGGAGCAAAAGAGAGAGAGAGAGAGAGAAAAGAGAAAGAGAAAGAGAAAGAGAAAAAAAGGAUAAGAAACAGGAUAAUACAAUAUACAAAUGUAUUGUUAAACUGCAUUAUACUUACAGUGUCAACCGUUUACAGUAACAUGCACACUAUCAACGCGUAUACAUUGAACUCGUACACACAGAAGCAUGAACACAAAAUGAUGAAGAUGGAAAACAAAACAUACGCUGAAAGUAUGAACACAUAAAAAGAUAACGACACAUGGUGAACGGACGACGAAGAGACUAGACGCUGCUCUUGUGUGGUAGGAGCGUGGCGUACGCGAUUAAACGAGCGAAGGGUACGAUCGCAAACAUGAACAUAAUUCAAGAGAAUAUUGUAAAAUACAAAAAUUUCUAUUAUUAUUAAAACCAUAUAUAAAUAUACCGCAACAAAAAGUAUAUAUAUAUAUAUUAAAGACAAGGAAAAACUGUAUCCCCUCUCGGCUAAGAAAAUGUCGAGAAACGACAAUAAAACUGUGAGAAUGAAAACGAAA